rnacentral:lncRNA from 1 species
AAGAUCAGUAAAUUCCAUGAAUAGGUGCCAAUGCUACACUUCCUUAGCUAGGAGCUAGCAAUGCUACGUGGAAUUGCAUGUCGAAAAUAUUUAAAAAGUCAACCUGCCAUCUCUCCUGCCCUGCUCGUCCAAGUUCCCACUCUAGUUCCAGUACUGGCAGGCUUCACCACUAUAUCCCAGCAGGGUCCUGCUUGGCAUGUUCUCCCAGGUAUCUUCUGAGAGGUUGUUCUCUCUCCACUUCUCAUUCAAGUCUGAAGAUGCUUACAGUCACCUGCAGUACUUCUAAAUCAGAGUUUUGAGAUGGAAGAGGUCACAGCUCCAAUGAUCUCAGCCGAAGAAGAUGAGGAAGAAGACCAGCACAAGUGGUAAGAAUCAGAGUCUCUCUCAAAUCAGCUUUUGCUGGUAUCAGGAUUUCUCUGGAGGACUCAACAAAGUCCUCUCCAUGCCUGAGAUUCCUACAAUGAUUGAAAUUCCAUUGUUUCUUCCCCGUGGCAUCCAGCCCACUGUACGCUGUGGCAUUUGGACAGGUUCUUGCCUCGAGUUCCUGCUCUGCCUUCAUUUCACUAUACCUAGAAGCUGAAAUAAACUAUUUCCUCCACAA